rnacentral:snRNA from 1 species
AUUUCUUCUCGGCCUUUUGGCUAAGAUCAAGUGUAAAAUGGUGGGUGUAUCUCUUAAAAUUUUCUCUAGGGAAUAUCUUUGAGUUGUUAAAAUGUUUAUUUUAUUUGCCAUAUUUCAAAAUUCCCUGAAUUAUUGGCAUAUUUUAA